AUGAAGCCUAAUAAUAAACCAUCUAGUGUUGCUUCUGAAAUUAAAUUGAAAAGUGCAUGUUUAUUUGCCACCAAAUCUGAUAUUGAUGAGCUAGAUUUCAGCAAAUCUGUUUGCUAUGCUUUUGUGUGCAAAGAGGCAUUAUUUUCAUUCGAGGACGUGCCUUCCUCUUUGCCUCCUGCUGUCACUAACAUUUUGCAGGAGUUCGCUGACGUUUUUCCACAAGACGUGCCACCGGGAUUACCGCCUAUUCGAGGGAUUGAGCAUCAGAUUGACUUAAUUCCCGGUGCUUCACUGCCAAACCGUGCACCAUACCGUACCAAUCCAGAGGAGACGAAGGAGAUUAUGCGUCAAGUACAAGAGCUUCUCGACAAAGGUUAUAUACGCGAAUCCCUUAGUCCUUGUGCUGUUCCUAUUAUUCUAGUGCCGAAAAAGGAUGGUACAUCACGUAUGUGUGUUUGA
rnacentral:rRNA from 1 species